rnacentral:lncRNA from 1 species
AAAAAAAGGUCAGUAAUGUGCUAUACAAAGAAAAUAACAAAGACGCAUACCACAAAAAUCUGUGGAUCUGAAGGUAACAUGAACAGCAGCUGCAAGAUAAACAGAUGCUGUUCCACAGAUCCCAGUCAUCUCUGCAGCCCCAAACUCUGACCUCAGUCUCCUCAACUAAACCCUGGGCUGUAGAUGGGAAACUGCCUCCAAGAGAAGAGCUAAGGUGAAUAAGGGGUUCAUCUCGUGUUUCCUUUCUCUCCAGGAUCACAGACUUAUGUUGCUUGGGGUCUACUACUUAAAAAGUGAACUCAUUUUUUUUUUGUCUUAUAAUUGUUAAUAGAGCAUAUAUCUCAUACCAGUUACUCCAGUAUAAACAGAGCAUUAAAUAGCAUUUUUCAUUUAUAAAUGUUUCAUAUUAAACUUUUUUAGUUCAGAUAUUAUAACAUCUUUUUUUAAAAAACACUCUUUGAGGGGCCAGGGAUUUGGCUCAGUGGUUCCUCCCCCU